GUUGACUAAUCUAAUCAUCUUGUGGAUAUGAUAUGGUAGUUUGACUCUGACAAGCUAGGUAGGAGCUUGGAAAUGAACGGGUCAAAUGGAUACAAGUUCAAGUAUGAAGCUCGCAAGGAUGCAAGAAAUAGUUAUCGAGUGGAUAAUUACAUCGCUACACUUAGCGGCUAUUGAGGCAAGGUAUUUAAAUGGGUCAAUAUAAUGAUCCGAGCCAGGUACAUUUUGAUGCCGGAAGACGAUCAAGCUUAACGAAGAACCGAACACGAUAAAGAUACAUGCUUCCGCAAGUUGUCGCCGUUUUACAUUUCAAAUGACGAAUUUAAUUACACUAAGUUGUUUUACUUUCAAGUCUAGAAAAGUUUUAAUAAACCCGUAUUUGAGCAAGAAUGUUUAAAUCUAAAUACUCAUUAAAUUUGUAAUUAUAACCUGGUUGUUACAAGUUGGUAAUCAGAGCUCAAGGUUAAAAGAAUAAAGUGUUC